GAUGAACGCUGGCGGCGUGCCUAAUACAUGCAAGUCGAGCGAACGGACGAGAAGCUUGCUUUUCUGAUGUUAGCGGCGGACGGGUGAGUAACACGUGGAUAACCUACCUAUAAGACUGGUAUAACUUCGGGAAACCGGAGCUAAUACCGGAUAAUAUUUUGAACCGCAUGGUUCAAAAGUGAAAGACGGUCUUGCUGUCACUUAUAGAUGGAUCCGCGCUGCAUUAGCUAGUUGGUAAGGUAACGGCUUACCAAGGCAACGAUGCAUAGCCGACCUGAGAGGGUGAUCGGCCACACUGGAACGGAGACACGGUCCAGACUCCUACGGGAGGCAGCAGUAGGGAAUCUUCCGCAAUGGGCGAAAGCCUGACGGAGCAACGCCGCGUGAGUGAUGAAGGUCUUCGGAUCGUAAAACUCGGUUAUUAGGGAAGAACAUAUGUGUAAGGAACUGUGCACAGCUUGACGGUACCGAAUCAGAAAGCCACGGCUAACUACGUG
rnacentral:rRNA from 1 species